AGAAGACGCACUGUGUGGGAGAGCUGCUGUAAGAUAGCUGGUCUGACAGCGAGAUAUCAGUCUGCUUGUCGCACACUGUGCUGACGUAAAUACACCAGGAAAUCAUGAAAGAAAAUCCACACAUUAGUAUUUUGUUUGGUCUCAACAUUUUUGCCCGUGUUUCUGCUCUGAAGAUAGAUAAUGCCACCGAAAAAGAAAAGAGACGUCCAAAGCUAUUUCACCACCCAGAGAGUUUCAGUGCUGAGCAGCAUCAAGAGCAAAAUCGAUAAUCUCAACUACAUUGUUGAGCUUAUUGCUUCAUUCCCAACUAAAUUUAGAACUGCACUUUAGAGCUGUUGGAUACAAGCCUACAUGAUUACCUUGCCAGUAUAGAUAAAUGCAUUCCUCUGGCUGACAUCAGAACCAUCAUCAAACAGGUAUGAACACAGCACCGUCAGAUGUAAAGCAAAACACUGCACGCUCUGUCAGUUUCGGGCUUUGGUAUAUUCUUACUGACCAUUGUACUGUCAGAUGGCCACAAUACUAGACACGCUGAAGUGAAGUGUGGAGAUCCACGAUGAUCUCCACCUCCAGAACAUAAUGAUGGUGAAUCACCAAAUACGACCCUUCAUAUUCAAGCUGAUAGACUUCAGUGAGGCCUUUCUCUGAUCAGAAGCCACGCGAGACAUGCUUCUGCAACCACUCCAUAUUGUGUCUCCAGAAGUUGUACUGGAGCUUCCAUUUUCUGAGGCCAUUGAUAUGUGGGCCCUGGGCUGUGUGAUGUUUGUGAUGGUCUACAACAAUGCACUGCUCGAAGGAAACUGUCUCUAUGAAAUAGAACUAGAGAUUAUGUUUACAGAAUGUGUUUACAUUCAAACUGGUUGCUAGGAGACUGUUUCUUUGAUCCAAGGCCACUCUGGAACUGAUCAUGAUGUUCUAAAUAUUUGGGUGCUCAACAUUAUUUAACCAACUAACUCAGGUCUACAGACACAUCUUUUAGGUGAUUCGAAGAGGAGAGAUGUAUUCAACCACAGUGAGUCAGGCAAGUCACCCUAACACUUUUCUACUUGGGAAUCUGUAUGUUCAGUUACUGUGAACCAAAGUACAGCUAUGAUUUUAGCAACUUUGAACAUUAACUGAGUGGAAAUGCGCGUAAUUUUAAUAAGGCCGCAGACAGUCAGUUGACCACUAGUAUAUAACAGUACAUGAUUGUCUAUGUAAAGACCUAACGCAGUUGUUCAGCAUGUUUAGUGUAAUCUAACUGUUGACAGAAAACAGUGGAUGGUAGCAAUUGUUAUGUUCCUUCAAAGGGCAGAAAGUAACUUUUCCUUUUUCUUGUUUUUACCCAUUUUGUCUCUAUAUUCUGAGAGAAAAAUGUCAUCUGAUGAAUCCUGUUCAUCCUAUUCGACAUUGGAGGUCCACGUCCCCAGCAAAAUUGAGUUCCUGGAAGUUCUGGGAGAGGGUAACUUGGGAGUAAUGUUGAAAUGUCAGAGGACGGUCACCGGACAGAUUGUGGCAACAAAGUUUGUUAAAUCCAUCUGCAAAGAAGCUGUCAAGGAGGUGCGAUACUUUUGUGAUUUUGGUGUUCACCGUUGUAAAAGAUCUUGUAUAGUCAAAGGUGCAGUAAGUGCCAAGUGCAAAAAGGCAAUUCUUUUUAUUGAGAGCAAUUAAAUAUUGCUAGGAACCAGUGGAUGGUAGCAAUUGUUAUGUUCCUUCAAAGGGGCAGAAAGUAACUUUUCCCUUUUCUUGUUUUUACCCUUUCUAUCUGUAUUCUGAGAGAAAAAUGUCAUCGGAUGAAUCCUGUUCAAUGAAUCCUCUUCAGUGGGGCCUUUUUCUGAUCAGAAGCCACGCGAGACAUGCUUCUGCAACCACUCCAUAUUGUGUCUCCAGAAGUUGUACUGGAGCUUCCAUUUUCUGAGGCCAUUGACAUGUGGGCCCUGGGCUGUGUGAUGUUUGUGAUGGUCUACAACAAUGCACUGCUCGAAGGAAACUGUCUCUAUGAAAUAGUCUACAGACACAUCUUUUAGGUGAUUCGAAGAGGAGAGAUGUAUUCAACCACAGUGAGUCAGGCAAGUCACCCUCACACUUUUCUACUUGGGAAUCUGUAUGUUCAGUUACUGUGAACCAAAGUACAGCUAUGAAUUUAGCAACUUUGAACAUUAACUGAGUGGAAAUGCGCGUAAUUUUAAUAAGACCUCAGACAAUCAGUUGACCACUAGUAUAUAACAGUACAUGAUUGUCUAUGUAAAGACCUAAAGCAGUUGUUCAACAUGUCUAGUGUAAUCUAACUGUUGACAGAAAACAGUGGAUGGUAGCAAUUGUUAUGUUCCUUCAAAGGGCAGAAAGUAACUUUUCCUUUUUUCUUGUUUUUACCCAUUUUGUCUCUAUAUUCUGAGAGAAAAAUGUCAUCUGAUGAAUCCUGUUCAUCCUAUUCGACAUUGGAGGUCCACGUCCCCAGCAAAAAAAAAUGUCAUCGGAUGAAUCCUGUUCAAUGAAUCCUCUUCAGUGGGGCCUUUUUCUGAUCAGAAGCCACGCGAGACAUGCUUCUGCAACCACUCCAUAUUGUGUCUCCAGAAGUUGUACUGGAGCUUCCAUUUUCUGAGGCCAUUGACAUGUGGGCCAUGGGCUGUGUGAUGUUUGUGAUGGUCUACAGCAAUGCACUGCUCGAAGGAAACUGUCUCUAUGAAAUAAUGAACUGCACUGUCGAAGUCCUUGGUGUCCCAGCGGACUAUAUUCUUAACAAUUCUCUGAAGGCAGAGUACUACUGAAAGAAGACUGAGUCCAACAGCUGGAAGUUCAAGGUCCCGCUGAUGCCACUACGGAGUUUGUAGCCCAUGCAGUCAGUGUUUAUGUUCCAAAUUGCUUUUGUAACUUCGCCUUCCAGUCGCCCGUCAGGGCAGAAAGCCUUCACGACCAGUCCCUGCUCAGAGCACCGCGGCUGCACAUUCCUCUCUGAAAAGACGCGCGGGAGGCCAAAAUGAUCACCAAGAAACAUGAGCCCCAUUCAGAAGACGCAUAAAAGCUGCAGCCGCGGUUCGCCAAUUCUCUGCCGAUGGUGAUUCACACAGAGCAAAGCAUCUCUGCCUUAAAGACAAACCGCCGUGAAUUCACACAGAAAGCCAGCACUGCGGCACCUAAAGAGGCGUGACGGUACAAGUCAUGAUAAUGACUUUCAAGGUGCUCCGUGCUGUUCUGUCUGAAUCCCUCACUCGCGGGACGAGUUCACAUGAUUUUUGGAAGUUUGUUUUUUAACUGAUUUCAUAAAAGAACAUAAGUUCACAUGA